CAGCCGCCGCGGGAAUACGGAGGGGGCUAGCGUUGUUCGGAAUUACUGGGCGUAAAGCGCACGUAGGCGGCUUGGUAAGUUAGAGGUGAAAGCCUGGAGCUCAACUCCAGAAUUGCCUUUAAGACUGCCGAGCUAGCAGGUGAGAGAGGUAAGUGGAAUUCCGAGUGUAGAGGUGAAAUUCGUAGAUAUUCGGAGGAACACCAGUGGCGAAGGCGGCUUACUGGCUCAUACUGGACGCUGAGGUGCGAAAGCGUGGGGAGCAAACAGGAUUAGAUACCCCCGUAGUCCCUGUCUCUUAUAC
rnacentral:rRNA from 1 species